ACUCCGUACGGGAGGCAGCAGGUAGGGAAUCUUCCACAAUGGGACGCAAGCCUGAUGGAGCAACACCGCGUGAGUGAAGAAGGUUUCGGCUCGUAAAGCUCUGUUGUUAAAGAAGAACACGUAUGAGAGUAACUGUUCAUACGUUGACGGUAUUUAACCAGAAAGUCACGGCUAACUACGUGCCAGCAGCCGCGGUAAUACGUAGGUGGCAAGCGUUAUCCGGAUUUAUUGGGGCGUAAAGAGAGUGCAGGCGGUUUUCUAAGUCUGAUGUGAAAGCCUUCGGCUUAACCGGAGAAGUGCAUCGGAAACUGGAUAACUUGAGUGCAGAAGAGGGUAGUGGAACUCCAUGUGUAGCGGUGGAAUGCGUAGAUAUAUGGAAGAACACCAGUGGCGAACGGC
rnacentral:rRNA from 1 species